rnacentral:rRNA from 1 species
GACAGAGGUGCCAAGCGUUAGGCGGAAUCACUGGGCUUAAAGCGUGUGUAGGCGGAUUUCUAAGUACCUUGUGAAAUCCCACGGCUCAACCGUGGAACUGCUCGGUAUACUGGGAAUCUUGAGCCACUUAGGGGUCGUCGGAACAAGCGGUGGAGCGGUGAAAUGCGUAGAUAUCGAGAGGAACACCUGCGGCGAAGGCGGGUUGCUGGGCUGAUACUGACGCUGAGGCGCGAAAGCCAGGGGAGCGAACGGG